rnacentral:snoRNA from 2 species
AGCAAAACAAUUGAUUGUUUCUCAUGAAUCUCUAAGCAAGAUUCAGCCUUUUCAGGUUUUCUGCUUGCA